CCCAGAGAUACCAAGAAUAAAGACUAUCCAGUGUAUUUGGCAGAGGAAAAAAAAAACCCACUGAACAUCCAGAAAAGGGUAGUGGGGUGGGAGCCAGAUCAUCAGAGGCUGAAGGGAGGCUGUGUGGGACAAAGAUGAUGGCAGCACACUGAGACCACUUGUUUAAAAAGCUCAGCAAUGAAAAUUAAAGAAAUGAGGUGGUCACUGGAGGGGACAGCAGAGCAAACUAACAAGUUGGGGUUUUUUGUUUGUUUUUUUUUUUUUUUUUUUUUUUUUUGGUGACGUGUGAAGGCAGAAGGAAAUAAAAGCAGAAUGAAGCAGAAACUGAAGGUCCUAGAGAUGAAGGCAAAACAUGUGGUAACAAGUUUCUUGAGGAAUUUGGAAGGGAUGGGAUCUAAGGCACAGGUGCCAGAUUGAGCCUUGGGAAGGAGAAUCUGUAAUUGUUAACUCCUGACAGUCCUCCCAAAACCAUGGGUUACAGAAUCCACUUGAAGUGCAUUCUUUUAAAUUUUAAGGGAAAAAAACCCAAUUAUUUUUUGCCAGCAGAUUUCUUAGAAAAUUUGGAUGACUGGACAUUCUGACAUUUCUUAAAACUGAUCUUGAUAAAAGAAGAUAGCACAUGAAUCAUCACUUCUGACCCCCCCUUCCAAAUGUGACCUUUCCAGGCUGUAAUCUACUGACCACAACCCAUAGGUCGUUGUCCCAAGUGACAUAAUGAUACUUCUGCUUCAUUAGUCUUAGUGUCUUGCUGCUUUGGGAAGAUUACUCUGAGUCAGAUGUUUUAGGAGGAACAGAGAGCAGGAGAAGAGUCAGGAAUAAGCUGUGGGUUUAUGUGUACAAGGUAAUUAGAAAAUCUCCAUGGAGAAGAAAACAACCAUAAGAGGAAAGCUGAAAGGCAUUGCCAAGGCUUAUAGAAUAGUGGGAAGGAUAUGAGCUUUAGGACUGGACAGACUUAGUCUCAAAUCCAAGCUCCUUCUCUUCUGUGUGCUGUGUGCCUCUGGGUAAAUUUCUCUUUCCAUUCUUCUUGUUGCUUCAUUACAUAGUGGGUAUAAGCUUUACCUCACAUGGUUGAUCAAAGAAUUAAAGUCCUGAUGGAUUCAAGGAUAUAGCAGAACUUAGGCAAGCAAUACAGGGUAGCUGUACUUCCUAUAUAAUUAUUUAGGAAGUGUUCUUAACCCAUCGAAAAUAAGCUGUCAUAUUUCCAUCAUUUGUUUACCACAGAUGGUCAAUUAAUACCUGUUUACAUUUAAGUGGUUAACUUAGCAGCCUUCUCUGAACAGCAGUGGCAAACUGUCUAAAGGUCAGUUAACACAUCAGCAGGCAAACGUAAAACAACUGGCCUUUCUCUACAUCACCAUGUUGCUUUUUCUCGGUGCCUACCGGGACUUGAUACAACCAUUCUUCUCUCUAAUACGAAGGCCUGCAAUGAGGAGACAGUAAAUGUGAGGGGUCCUGUGGUCCUAGAAGACGAAUCCCCAAGGAGGAAUGGAGUCCCUGAAGUUCUUAUUUUCUGAAGCCGUCAAAUAUGGCCCAUGCCCCAGCCUAUGAUCACCCUUUUACAUUUCUGAGUAUAGAUCCUUAUCCACAUGUGAGGCAGAGUAAAUCAACUCAAAUAUUCACUGGGAUCAAAGGAACAUCUCUUGAAAUUAAUCCUUUAAAUGCAUGCCACAUAGUACCUUGAACCUCCUUUAAUUAUGGUAUUAGACCCACUGCUGAAUUAUGGCUUUUGAUAUAAUUAAACUGAACCUUUUUAGAGCAACUUGUGGUAUAUUUCAGGCAUUCUCUGUCUGGCAGUUUAAGGGAUCUAGAGUUUGAGGACUACAUCCAUUCCCCAUUUAUCAAGGCAAAAGAAAAAAUGUUAUGAUAAAUCCUUGGAAUCAAUGCAUAAACUCAGUAAUAAGAUGUCUCAGUCGUGACUGGAAAGGCAAAUAUAUCGUACUAAUACAUCGUAAUAACCAUAAUCAUUGGUGUUUGAGGGAAGGUCAGCUUGCCUCCAGUUUUACACAACAAUUAAGAAUCAGUUCAAGUGCAAAAAUGGAACGUGGUCUUAGUGACCAGGAUACAUUUGCUAAAGAUAGCAUACCCCUUGCCCAUUUGAUCCUCCUGGUGGCAGUUCCCUGCAUACUGAGUUCUAUGACUUAAGAGUUAUAAAGGGUUUGGCAUGAGCUUUUUCCUGCUCUAUAUCAUGGCUGGAAUUAGUUGCUAACCCAAUCCUGGGCUUUGGUUUGGUGCUGGGCACUACUAAAUUAAGUCAUAUUACUUUGAGAGGCCCUGCCACAAUUUCUUUUUUCAUUUCCUGGGUCUCUAGAGCCCACAUGAUUGGGCAGAGGUAAACUGAAGCAAAUUAUUAUUAUUAUUUUUUAUUUUCCCACAAAUUAUUUUCUUUGAGUUAAAACAGAGAAUAUCCUACAUGAGACAACACCUACAAAAUGAUCCAAACUUAAACUCAGCUAAUUGUGUAAAGUUAACAUUGCGAAGUUAGUAAAGUUAAUGUGACACAUGUUUAAUGAUACACAUUAUUGUGCCACAUGAUAAUGAGGCAUAAAUGGUAAGCAACUAAUAUAUAUGACUGAAAUUAGUAGUUUUACACAACCAGACCAAAUAUGAAUUGAUCUUUUUUUUUCUUUUUGCUUCAUUAAUGUUCCAUUUUCUAUAAAAAGUAUCCAUAAUGACAGCUGCUCCGACGUUUUGCCUUAGGAAUCUCAGUAGAAUAUUACUGCACUGUUUUCAAAAUGCACUGCUCUAAAUCAUUCAUUCAUUGAGGGUUUGUGCUAUUCAACCAAGCCAUACUGGCUGUAUCAAUACUUUCGAGAAAGUUUUAAAAGAUGCUGCAUACUGUCACCUCUGGAUCUAUGUUCUGUCCUCUGCCUACCAUGUAGCCGGGGUGGCUGAACUGUGUGGAUCUGGCAGUGAGACUCCUCACCCUCCAACCUCCUGACAACUAUAGGAGGGAUAUCCCAGAGUGAGGGAAUAUGUAUAUACCCCAAGUCCCAGCCCCACGGGGUCUCAAAUAUUUCAGCUCUGUACCGCUGCCUCUUCAGCAGCAUCCUUUCUGUCUCCAGGGCUCAGUCCCCACCGCUUUGCCAUACAGUUCCUUCAGGUGGAGGGUUGUGGAAAGCCCUGCUCUCACACUGGUUCACCACACUGUCCCUGCAGUUUGCUUCUACCCAGCUCGUGGAAGGGAUGUUAUACUCUUAAACUUUCUUAUCUUGAAUGUGCCAUCUUUUUUCUCCUUAAACCUACUGAUUCAAAAAGUAUGAUUUUGCCUCUGGCAUUUAUGUUGUCAUAGUUAACAAAAAGCAAGGUUCUCCUAACACCUCAGUGUUUGUUUUACCUCUGUUGUCACUUUGUCAGUCUUGGUGUGGGGAAUGUAAUAGAUACUGAAUAUCUACUUGUUGAUUGAAUGAAUGAAUCGUUGUAAUGUGUAGUAUUUCCUGAAUUAGUUUCUAACAUCAGUAUUAUUCCAGUAAGACAAUUAAUGGUCAAAGUGUAUAUUGCAUAUAGACCGGUGUAGCUAAAGUUCUUAUUUUGCCAUGUUUGCUAAGAGAGCAGU
rnacentral:lncRNA from 1 species